UCAAGCGAUUCUCCUGCCUCACCCUCCUGAGUAGCUGGGACUACAGGCCUGCGCCACCACACCUGGCUAACUUCUGAAUAUCAAGCUGAAAUUACUAUCAGAUAUCUUGCCACCACAUAGAGGCUUUGAGUGAAGUCUGCAUGGAGGAGAACAGAGCUGAGAGAUGGAAAGAUACUGAAUCCCAGUGACGUCCUUUGAGAUGUCGGAUCAAGCUGAGCUGGGCAUGAAGAUAGAGCUACUCCUAUACUUUUAAGAUACUCUACCACUCACAGAAACUACCUUUUAGUGCAACCACGGUGGAACCCUGCCAUAGUAUCUCUAGCAAUAACAAGCAAGAUUCAGAAGUCCAACAAGUAAGACAUUGAUUUCAUUAAGAGAGAACUAGUAAGCAAGCUAUUUGGGAAGUACACUCUCAUAAGAAUAUUGUUUCAUGAAGUCUUGAGCAACAAAGGAAAUAGUCCAUGAAGUGCACUGCUGUCAGACUCCCUCUAAGAAUACUUCAACUGCUCAUGAAGCGGGGGGCCUUAACUAUUUACUUCUUUUGGAAGCCUCCAUCUGGCCCAUCUAUCUUUAUUCUCCCAGGAUCACAGGCAGAACACCUGAGCCACAGUAUCAGAACUAGGGUUGGAAGCCUGCUUUUCCUGGAAUGAAACCCCUCACUCUUCAAGUGUCCAGGAGACAAGAGUCAUUGUGCAAGCCUAUCUCUAGAGAGGCUAACAGACUCUUUCUGGCUUUGAAAGAAACAAGCUGCCAUAUUGAAACAAGCUGCCAUAUUAUGUGUGAGCUGCCCUAAGGAAAGACACACAUGGUAAGGAAGAGAGGAUGACCUCUGGCUGAUAGGCAGCAAGAAACUAAGGACCUCAGUCUGAGAACCUGCAAGGAGCUGAAUUCUUCCAAUUACCAUGUGAGCUUGGAAGCAGCUCCUUCCCCAGUCAAGCCUCAGAUGAGACCCCAGCCCUGGCCAACACCUUGAUUGCAGCCUCUUAUGAAGAUUGUAGUCCCUAAGCAGAAAAUCCAGAUAACCUGUGCCCAGAUUGCUGAGCCACAGAAAUUCACUGAGAUAAUAAACGUGUGU
rnacentral:lncRNA from 1 species